GACCACUACUGCCACCUACCGAAUAAAUCGUACAAUUUUUUGCAAUUCUAUGGCACUUUUAAGGUUUUUCAUUUGAAUCCCUCUCGUACAAUGUUUGUCAUCUUCAAGGAUAGCAGCAAAGGACAUAAGAAUACAAGAACUUGGAGCAAAGUAUUUAAAAUAGAUUUUAAACAUAAACAAAUCGACAGUUUCUAUUCUAAAAAUAUUUUGUUUAAAAAUACCUCAUAUAAAAAGGGUGGUUUGGUCUGGUUUACAGAUGGUUUUAAAACCACUGCUGGUUGUUGGGGCAGGGGUUUACUGUGAGGAGAUACUCGACUACUCAAGGCAGUAA
rnacentral:lncRNA from 1 species